rnacentral:rRNA from 1 species
UACGUAGGGUGCAAGCGUUAGUCGGAAUUACUGGGCGUAAAGCGUGCGCAGGCGGUUUUGUAAGUCUGUCGUGAAAGCCCCGGGCUUAACCUGGGAAUUGCGAUGGAGACUGCAAGGCUUGAAUCUGGCAGAGGGGGGUAGAAUUCCACGUGUAGCAGUGAAAUGCGUAGAGAUGUGGAGGAACACCGAUGGCGAAGGCAGCCCCCUGGGUCAAGAUUGACGCUCAUGCACGAAAGCGUGGGGAGCAAACAGG